UACGUAGGGUGCGAGCGUUGUCCGGAAUUAUUGGGCGUAAAGGGCUCGUAGGCGGUUUGUCGCGUCGGGAGUGAAAUCCACUGGCUUAACUGGUGGCUUGCUUUCGAUACGGGCAGACUGGAGGUAUGCAGGGGAGAAUGGAAUUCCCGGUGUAGCGGUGAAAUGCGCAGAUAUCGGGAGGAACACCGGUGGCGAAGGCGGUUCUCUGGGCAUUACCUGACGCUGAGGAGCGAAAGUGUGGGGAGCGAACAGG
rnacentral:rRNA from 1 species